GGUUGGGUGGACCAGUUAUACCCCGCUUCCCUCCCCCCGCCCCAGACCGCACACUUCCUCAUGGAGAGUAGAACUGCCCGCACUGUGCUCGGCCAAGUUUGCAUGCUGGGCACAUGCAAGCAAGCGGCGUGAUCCCGGAGGAAUCAUUCUGAAGCAGGGUCCGUGUCGAGUCAGCAAACUCUUUGGGGAAAGGGGUGCGAGAGAGGCAACACCAGUUCCAUGCCACCACCCUAAAACAGAAUUGCUUCAGAAUAUUCGGGUCAUACCACGAAGGCACAAAGCAUGUAGAAGGUGAUGAAGUAGACUAUGGCAACGUUGCUCCCGCACGACCUCUCCUCCCCUGGAUUGAUGUCCGAUUCUGGAUCACACAGCCUCCCGGGCAAGCAGGCCAGCAUGAUAUUCUGCCAUGCCUCACCUGUGGCACACCUGAGACACAAGGAGGCAGAUCAGGGGAGCCCAGGGUCGCGGAGGGUCUGGAGACUGCAGGUGCAAAACAGGGAACAAUAGAGAAUUGGGCAGGAAGCCAUCGCAGGGCACACACACAUCAUUCACUCACACAGGUACACCUACGGGCAAUUUGGUAACCAAAUUAGAUGUAGUAUCUUUAGCUAGCAUCGAUUGUAGUUGCACAUGAUUGGAUAAUGUUGAGCUAACCGGCUUCAAGCUUUUAAUCCAUGCAACUAUGUCUCUAAAGUCUGUCUGUAUACUUGUUAUAUCUGUGCUGGGCUUGGGCAGCUUUUAUCGUGGGGGUAACAUAUACUGCUUAAAUUAGAUUAGGAAAUGGUUUUCAAAUUGUUAAUACUAGUUAAUAAAGUAGCAUAUACUGCUGUGUGAAACAACAUACUGAUAUAUGUGCAAUUUUUACAUUGGAUGCAAAAGAAAACAAUUCUCAGUGCAAGUUGUAUGGAGUGGUAGCAAAAGGAAAAUAAACACAAUCCAGUUGGUUUUUAAUAGUCUGAGUUUUGUUUAUGUUGUUGAGAGAGGACACAUUUUCUUUAUUUAAUUUCUAUUCACUGGUAUUCUUUUAUAAUUGCAGAUGUCAUAUGCAAGUAUUUCG